rnacentral:sRNA from 1 species
GCCGGGUGAGGUGGCUCACACCUGUAGUCCCAGCUACUCCAGAGGCUGAGGUGGGAGGAUAGCUUGAGCCUAGGAAGUUGAGGCUGCAGUGAGCCCUGAUCCUGCCACUGCACACCAGCCUAGGCAACAGAGCAAGAUCCUAUCUCAA